rnacentral:lncRNA from 1 species
UUCUCUUUCUCUCUCCCCGACUCUCCCUUCCUCUCUCGGCCGAUUCGCUCCCCCUCCGAGUUCUUCCUCUUCCGGCCGCCUCCGGACGUAAUCCGGCCAACCCCAAGCUCGGUUUCCUCCCCCGGUCACGUCUGUGGAAGCAUCUUUGGACGAUUUGGCCGGAAAAGCUCGGAUCGAACGAAUUUCCUCCCCGGUUGCAGUUUUGGAUUUUGGCCGAUUCCCGGCCAUUCCGGCCACCUCCGGCCCCCAUCUCACCGUCGAAGUUAAAAUUGAUCAAUGUUGACGAGAGGAGUCUCCAUACGAGGAGAAUCACGAGCGACGUCAGGAUUGACCGCUUAUUGUGAGUGGACCUUUGAUUUUAAUUGA